GAUCAUGGCUCAGGAUGAACGCUAGCUACGGGCUUAACACAUGCAAGUCGCGGGGCAGCAUGAAGGAUGCUUGCAUCCUUUGAUGGCGACCGGCGCACGGGUGAGUAACGCGUAUCCAACCUGCCUGUUACCACGGCACAGCCCGUCGAAAGGCGGAUUAAUGCCGUAUGUGGUCCUUUGCGGGCAUCUAAUUAGGACUAAAGGUUCGGCGGUAACGGAUGGGGAUGCGUCCGAUUAG
rnacentral:rRNA from 1 species